GCUAGGCACUAACUGGAAGAGUGGAAACUGAAACUGACUGCCCGAGGCGGAUCAGAACGACCGAUGCUGUCUGGGAUUGCUGGGCAGCGGACAUCCCUCCGGCCCCUCCGUCUGGGCUCCUGUGGAUAGGAGGGGCCGGGUGAGCAGGCCAGCUGGGCUAUGAUUUGGUGUCUCCAUCUGACCAUCCUCAGCCUGAUCAUCAGCCAGGGGGCUGCCGGUCGGAGGAAGCCUGAGGUGGUCUCUGUGGUGGGCCGGGCUGGGGAGAGUACAGUGCUGGGCUGUGACUUGCUGCCUCCAGCUGGCCGCCCCCCUCUGCAUGUCAUCGAGUGGCUGCGCUUUGGAUUCCUGCUUCCCAUCUUCAUCCAGUUCGGCCUCUACUCUCCCCGAGUUGACCCUGAUUACGUGGGACGAGUCCGACUGCAGACAGGAGCAUCUCUUCAGAUUGAGGGGCUCCGGGUAGAAGACCAGGGUUGGUACGAGUGCCGUGUGCUCUUCCUGGACCAACACAGCCCUGAACAGGAUUUUGCCAACGGCUCCUGGGUGCACCUGACAGUCAAUUCCCCGCCUCAGUUCCAGGAGACGCCUCCGUCAGUACUGGAAGUGAAGGAACUGGAGGCUGUUACCUUGCGCUGUGUGGCCCGUGGCAGCCCCCAGCCUUAUGUGACUUGGAAAUUCCGAGGACAGGACCUUGGCAAGGGCCAGGGUCAGGUGCAAGUGCAGAACGGAACACUGCGGAUCCGUCGGGUGGAGCGAGGCAGCGCUGGAGACUACACUUGCCAAGCCUCCAGCACGGAGGGCAGCGUCACCCAUGCCACCCAGCUGCUGGUGCUAGGACCUCCUGUCAUCGUGGUGCCCCCCAUCAACAGCACAGUCAAUGCCUCCCAGGAUGUUUCCCUGGCCUGCCGGGCUGAGGCCUACCCUACUAACCUCACCUACAGCUGGUUCCAGGAUGGUAUCAAUGUCUUUCACAUUAGCCGCCUACAGUCUCGUGUGCGGAUCCUGGUAGACGGAAGCCUGUGGCUCCAGGCUGCUCAGCCUGACGACGCUGGCCACUACACCUGUGUCCCCAGCAAUGGCUUUCUGCAUCCACCUUCAGCCUCUGCCUAUCUCACGGUGCUCUACCCAGCACAGGUGACAGUCAUGCCUCCCGAGACACCCCUGCCCAUUGGCAUGCGGGGGGUGAUCCGGUGUCCGGUUCGUGCUAACCCCCCACUACUCUUUGUCACCUGGACCAAAGAUGGGCAGGCCUUGCACCUGGACAAGUUCCCUGGCUGGUCCCAGGGCCCAGAAGGCUCCCUCACCAUUGCCCUGGGGAACGAGGAUGCCUUGGGAGAAUACUCCUGUACCCCCUACAACAGUCUUGGUACUGCUGGACCCUCCCCUGUGACCCGAGUGCUGCUCAAGGCUCCCCCGGCUUUUAUAGACCAGCCCAAGGAAGAGUAUUUCCAAGAAGUAGGGCGGGAGCUACUCAUCCCCUGCUCCGCCUGGGGAGACCCUCCUCCUGUUGUCUCUUGGGCCAAGGAGGCCCAUGGACGGUGGGAGUGCAGUGCCAGCAAUGCUGUAGCCCAAGUGGCCAUUUCUACCAAUGUCUACGUGCUAGGCACCAGUCCCCAUGUCGUCACCAAUGUGUCUGUGGUACCUUUACCCAAGGGUGCCAAUGUCUCUUGGGAGCCUGGCUUUGAUGGUGGCUAUCUGCAGAGAUUCAGUGUCUGGUAUACCCCACUGGCCAAGCGUCCAGACCGAGCUCACCACGACUGGGUAUCUCUGGCUGUGCCUCUGGGGGCUACACACCUCCUGGUGCCCGGGCUGCAGCCUCAUAUUCAGUACCAGUUCAGUGUCCUUGCUCAGAACAAGCUGGGCAGUGGGCCUUUCAGCGAGAUUGCUCUGUCUGUACCGGAAGGGCUUCCUACCACACCGGCUGCUCCUAGGCUUCCUCCAACAGAGAUGUCGUCACCUCCCUUGUCCCCUCCUAGAAGUUUAGUGGCAGUGAGGACACCCCGGGGGGUACUUCUGCAUUGGGAUCCCCCAGAACUCAUGCCUAAGAGACUGGAUGGCUACGUGUUGGAGGGACGGCAAGGCUCCCAAGGCUGGGAGAUACUGGACCAAGCUGUGGCAGGCACCGAGAGCCAGCUGCUGGUGCCUGGCCUCAUCAAGGACGUCCUCUAUGAGUUUCGCCUCGUGGCCUUUGCUGACAGCUAUGUCAGUGAUCCCAGCAACAUAGCCAACAUCUCCACUUCCGGCCUGGAGGUGUACCCCUCCCGCACACAGCUCCCAGGUCUCCUGCCCCAGCCUGUAUUGGCUGGUGUCGUGGGUGGAGUUUGCUUCCUGGGCGUGGCCGUCCUUGUGAGCAUCCUGGCUGCCUGCCUCAUGAAUCGGCGCAGGGCUGCCCGGCGGCACAGAAAGCGGCUGCGCCAAGAUCCACCUCUGAUCUUCUCCCCACGUAGGAAGUCAAGCCCACACUCUGCUCCUGGCUCAGGCAGCCCUGACAGCGUGGCCAAGCUGAAGCUCCAGGGCUCCCCAGCACCCAGCCUACGCCAGAGUCUGCUCUGGGGGGAACCUGCCCGACCUCCUAGUCCUCACCCGGAUUCUCCACUUGGCCGGGGACCCUUACCACUGGAGCCCAUUUGUAGGGGCCCUGAUGGGCGCUUUGUGAUGGGACCCACUGUGGCGUCCCCACAAGAAAAGUUAUGUCUGGAUCGGGCAGAACCUCGGACCUCAGCUAAACGCCCGGCCCAGUCCUUUGACUGCAGCAGUAGCAGCCCCAGUGGGGUCCCACGGCCCCUCUGCAUUGCAGACAUCAGCCCUGUGGGGCCUCCACCUGCGGCCCUGCCUAGUCCCCUACCAGGUCCUGGGCCCCUGCUUCAGUACCUGAGCCUACCCUUCUUCCGGGAGAUGAAUGUGGACGGAGACUGGCCACCUCUUGAGGCGCCCACGUCUGCUCCACCUCCAGAGUUGAUGGAAACUCAGGCCUGCCCCACCUCAUCCUUCCUCUCACCACCUGACUCACCUCCUGCAAACCUCAGGGCAGUGCUUCCUGGGACACUGAUGGGCGUGGGGGCCUCCUCAGAGCCCCCUUACACAGCUUUGGCUGACUGGACGCUGAGGGACAGGGUGCUGCCGGGGCUUCUUGCUGCUGCCCCUCGUGGCAGCCUCACCAGCCAGAGCAGUGGGCGGGGCAGUGCUUCCUUCUUUCGCCCUCCCUCCACAGCGCCCUCUGCAGGGGGAAGCUACCUCAGUCCGGCUCCAGGAGACACAAGCAGCUGGGCCAGUGGCCCCGAGAGGUGGCCCCGGAGGGAGCAUGUGGUGACAGUCAGCAAAAGGUAAAGAGGUAGCAACUACCCGUUCUUGCCCUGGCUUGCCAUCCUGCCCUGUCCUUCCAGGUCCCUUCUACCCGCCGUUGUCACCCCCACCUUCCUUGCGCCAUUUCCACAAUGAGACCAAAAGAACCUUCUCUUGGGAGUCCUGCUGAGGUCCCCCUACUCUUCCAUCCACACUUCCCGUCUGUCCUUUGUAACAGGAGGAACACUUCUGUGGACGAGAACUAUGAAUGGGACUCAGAAUUCCCUGGGGACAUGGAGCUGCUAGAGACUUGGCACCUGGGCUCGGCCGGUUCUCGGUCCCGUCCCGAACUUGAGCCAGAGUUAGGUGUGAAGACGCCAGAGGAGAGCUGUCUCCUGAGUUCAGCUCCCGCUCCCGGUCCCGAGGCCCGCUGUGCUGCCCUUCGGGAGGAAUUCCUAGCUUUUCGCCGCCGCAGGGAUGCCACCAGGGCCCGGCUGCCAGUCCAUCAGCAGUCUGUUUCCUACCCUGAACAGGCUACUCUGCUAUGAGAACACUUAGUGUGAGACUA